GGAUGCGAUCAUACCAGCACUAAAGCACCGGAUCCCAUCAAAACUCCGAAGUUAAGCGUGCUUGGGCGAGAGUAGUACUAGGAUGGGUUCCCUCCUGGGAAGUCCUCGUGUUGCAUUCC
rnacentral:rRNA from 1 species